rnacentral:rRNA from 1 species
UACAGAGGUCCCAAGCGUUGUUCGGAUUCAUUGGGCGUAAAGGGCGCGUAGGUGGCCCGGUCAGUUCGUGGUGAAAGCGCGGGGCUCAACCCUGGAAUGCCGGUGGAUACUGUCGGGCUCGAGUCCGGAAGAGGCGAGUGGAAUUCCUGGUGUAGCGGUGAAAUGCGCAGAUAUCAGGAGGAACACCAAUGGCGAAGGCAGCUCGCUGGGACGGUACUGACGCUGAGACGCGAAAGCGUGGGGAGCAAACAGG